GAUGACGGCUAGCGCCAGGCUUAACACAUGCAAGUCGAGGGGUAACAUAAGUGCUUGCACUUGAUGACGACCGGCGCACGGGUGCGUAACGCGUAUAGAAUCUACCUUAUACUAGGGGAUAGCCUUUGGAAACGAAGAUUAAUACCCUAUAGUAAGUAUUUAUGGCAUCAUUUAUACUUUAAAGGUUACGAUAUAAGAUGACUAUGCGUCCUAUUAGUUUGUUGGUGAGGUAACGGCUCACCAAGACUUCGAUAGGUAGGGGCCCUGAGAGGGGGAUCCCCCACACUGGUACUGAGACACGGACCAGACUCCUACGGGAGGCAGCAGUGAGGAAUAUUGGACAAUGGAGGAAACUCUGAUCCAGCCAUGCCGCGUGCAGGAUGACGGCCCUAUGGGUUGUAAACUGCUUUUAUGUAGGAAGAAACACUCUCACGUGUGAGAGCUUGACGGUACUACAAGAAUAAGGACCGGCUAACUCCGUG
rnacentral:rRNA from 1 species